rnacentral:lncRNA from 1 species
UAGCAACGCCUGAAUGUUCAUACGGCGUUUUUCCUUAGCACGGCAGCAUAGUGACUACCUUCUUCAUUGAUGCAAGCAACAUCGUUCCAAUCUGGAUUUGAAAUUUGCAGGUGACAUGGGAGCGGCGUUGACAUGUUGGCGUGCGUUUUGGAUUCCGGUUGCUCCGACUCAUGGGACCCCCCACCGGACUCAAUCCUCGAAAUCCCACCCCCUCCCAUGCCCUCUUUUUUCCAGAGCAACUUCACUUUAUCUCCCGGUUGCUCCCCUUUUUCCUGCGAUUGGUCCACCGGACACAGCGUUGAAUAUGUCGAGUUACCGCAUCAAGAGACGCAACUGGAUGAAACCUGGUUGAUCAUUCUUGGAUCCUCGCUAGUUAUAGUUUUGGUGCUAAGCAUUCUGCUAACAAUGUUCCUCAUAAGAUGUCGUCAACUGAAGACGCUGAAGAUCCCCUCGCUGAGCAGCCUGAACGAGGGUGGGAACUGCGAGGCGGUGCUGUACCCGGCCUCGAUGCACGGGAGGGCCUUCUGGGCCACUUUGGGGCCCCACGGGACCAUGAAGCACGUGACGGAGCCCCUCCCGUUCCCGAUCCUCAAGCCGGCCACCAAGAGCUUCGAGAACUGCGGCUUCAUCGAGGCCGAGGACUACAUCUCCAAAGUUCGACCCCGGGUCUCCUCCCCGACCAGGAUCGAAAAUCCGAACCUCCCCCCGCUCAACAUCAACGGGAGCCUCCGCCGACCAUCCUAUCAUACCAUUGGUCGACAAUAA